rnacentral:lncRNA from 1 species
AGAGCAGAGAGGCCCGCGAGAGGGAAAGCUGGCCCAGGCCCAGGGCAGGCUCGCCUCUGACUCUGCAGGGACAUUAUUCCCUCCCAGCCAGCAGGGAACUUCUGGAACUUCUAAACAGCACAUCCUCGAGCCAGCCCAGGCCCCCACAGCAUCCUGCACCCCAGGUUUACAAGCUUUUUAAUGGCGCAGUGGCUCAUGCCUGUAAUGCCAGCACUUUGGGAAGCCAAGGCAGGCAGAUCAAUUGAGGACAGGAGUUCAAGACCAGCAUGGCCAACAUGGUGAAAUCCUGUCUCUACUGAAAAUACAAAAAUUAGCCAGGCAUGGUGGCACAUCCUAUAGUCCCAGCUACUCAGGAGGCUGAAGCAGGAGAAUCACUUGAACCUGGGAGGCAGAGGUUGCAGUGAGCCAAGAUUGCGCCCCUGCACUCCAGCCUGGGCGACAGAGCGAAAACCUGUCUUAAAAAUAAAUGAAUAAAUAAAUAAAGGUAUAUGUCUCCAUCAGAGAUAGUCAACUGCCAUAUAUCUCUGCUUUCAGAUGAUUUUAAAGAGAAGGUGUUUUGAAAGCUCGAGACAUGUUCUGGGCUUGGCUUUGGCUCUACCUCCAUCUCUGUUUUGAGAAACACAGUCCUCUUCUCUGUGUAUCUGGAAAUCUUGGAGGCACUGAGCUGUGUUGCAGGGACUUCCUCAUUACCCAGGCUGUGCCUUGUCCAAGUGUUGCCAAAGGUCUCCAAGAAGAGAAAUCCAUCCACUCCUUCCUUCAGGCUGUCUAACUGGCGUGCCUGCCCUGUCAUAUCCAAGCAGUGACCCCAGCCCCAUUCCCCUAAGAGUAGGGACUCCAUCAUUGUGUCCCCGCAAGCUUGCAGUUCUCUCAAAUCUUGUCACAACCCCCCACCUUCUGGGUGCCAAGAUGCUCAGACGGUUUGUGAUUCCUCUGAUGACCUCUGGCUGGGAUUCCCUGCUUCCCACCUCUCACCCUCUAUCUGCACCUCAACUCCCACAGCUGCUCUCCUCUCCCACCCGCUCUUUAUCACCCUUUGCUUAGCCCCGUCCCUGCAUUGCCCCAGCCACGCCCAACUCACACGGCAGCAGACUUUUACUCAAGGUUAGGGGUCAUAGAGAGGAAAUGACAGUAAGCAAAUGAGAAUCUACGAAUAGACAUUACCCUGAAAGUUCACCAACCAUCUCCCACCUCAGAAAACUUCUCACUGUUCCCUAAGUCCCAACUUAAACCAUCUUCUCUCCAGCCUUCCCCUUCUCUUCUAGACCCUUCUACCCAAAUUCCAAGUUCCUGGGGAUUCAUCUUGCAAAACAAUUUGUCUUGCCUUCCGCAUGCCCAGAAAGUCUCAUUGUUCUCACCAGAGCGCUUCCCUAUCAGGGUUCAUCAUAGCAUAAUCCUCAAAACAGAGGCAUCUACCUCCAGGAUAGAUGCCAGCCCGCCCCUGGAAUGAUAAAGCACAGCAUUUUGUUUUCUAUGUAACACUUUCUUCCUAUCCACCCGCCACCACCGCCCCCUUACAUCUGGUACC